rnacentral:sRNA from 1 species
ACAACAAGGAUAUUAUUUUAAAGUUGGUUGGUUAAUGUGGGCUGUGUUAGAACUUCCAAUGUGUUGUGUUUGGGUUGAUGCAAUGUUAUUUUAAUGAGUUUAUUGGUUCGAUGCACAAAACACCACAUGGUGCUUGAAGGUUUUAGGUUAUAAAUUUUCUCGUGAGGCACUUACUUGAAGGAACUCUGUUACAUAAUCAAUUGGUCUUUAAAUCUAUCCGCACAAAAUAUAACCUUUCAGUUUUUUACAUAUGUGGUUGUUAUUAUGUGAUUAUGAAAACCAAAUAAAAAUUUCCAUAGAUGUUAUAUUCCUUAAUGAACUAUUUUGUAUAUAUAUUGAAGUUUUCACAAUAAACAUUUAUUUCACAGUAUUUGUUGAGUGAAUCUACAAAGUGAAUUUGGAGUCUUCUAGUAAAGACUGAGAAUAAAGGAUCUUCCUCUUUA